UGAACGCUGGCGGCAGGCCUAACACAUGCAAGUCGAGCGGCAGCACGGGUACUUGUACCUGGUGGCGAGCGGCGGACGGGUGAGUAAUACCUGGGAAUCUGCCUGGUAGUGGGGGAUAACGUUCGGAAACGGACGCUAAUACCGCAUACGUCCUACGGGAGAAAGCAGGGGACCUUCGGGCCUUGCGCUAUCAGAUGAGCCUAGGUCGGAUUAGCUAGUUGGUGAGGUAAUGGCUCACCAAGGCUACGAUCCGUAACUGGUCUGAGAGGAUGAUCAGUCACACUGGAACUGAGACACGGUCCAGACUCCUACGGGAGGCAGCAGUGGGGAAUAUUGGACAAUGGGCGAAAGCCUGAUCCAGCCAUGCCGCGUGUGUGAAGAAGGUCUUCGGAUUGUAAAGCACUUUAAGUUGGGAGGAAGGGCAUUAACCUAAUACGUUGGUGUCUUGACGUUACCGACAGAAUAAGCACCGGCUAACUCUGUGCCAGCAGCCGCGGUAAUACAGAGGGUGCAAGCGUUAAUCGGAAUUACUGGGCGUAAAGCGCGCGUAGGUGGUUCGUUAAGUUGGAUGUGAAAUCCCCGGGCUCAACCUGGGAACUGCAUUCAAAACUGUCGAGCUAGAGUAUGGUAGAGGGUGGUGGAAUUUCCUGUGUAGCGGUGAAAUGCGUAGAUAUAGGAAGGAACACCAGUGGCGAAGGCGACCACCUGGACUGAUACUGACACUGAGGUGCGAAAGCGUGGGGAGC
rnacentral:rRNA from 1 species